UUGGUUAAGUUAGAAAGGGCGCACGGUGGAUGCCUUGGCACUAGGAGCCGAAGAAGGACGGGACUAACACCGAUAUGCUUUGGGGAGCUGUACGUAAGCGUUGAUCCAGAGAUUUCCGAAUGGGGGAACCCACUAUCUUUAGUCGGAUAGUAUCCUUACGUGAAUACAUAGCGUGAGGAAGGCAGACCCAGGGAACUGAAACAUCUAAGUACCUGGAGGAAGAGAAAGAAAAAUCGAUUUCCUGAGUAGCGGCGAGCGAAACGGAAAGAGCCCAAACCAAGAAGCUUGCUUCUUGGGGUUGUAGGACACUCUAUACGGAGUUACAAAAGAAAGUUAUAAAUGAAGCGGUCUGGAAAGGCCCGCCAAAGACGGUAACAGCCCGGUAGUUGAAAUGGCUUUCCCUCCAGAGUGGAUCCUGAGUACGGCGGAACACGUGAAAUUCCGUCGGAAUCCGGGAGGACCAUCUCCCAAGGCUAAAUACUCCCUAGUGACCGAUAGUGAACCAGUACCGUGAGGGAAAGGUGAAAAGCACCCCGGAAGGGGAGUGAAACAGUUCCUGAAACCGUGUGCCUACAAGUAGUUAGAGCCCGUUAAUGGGUGAUAGCGUGCCUUUUGUAGAAUGAACCGGCGAGUUACGAUUUGUUGCAAGGUUAAGCGGAAAAAGCGGAGCCGUAGCGAAAGCGAGUCUGAAUAGGGCGCAUAAGUAACAGGUCGUAGACCCGAAACCAGGUGAUCUACCCAUGUCCAGGAUGAAGGUAAGGUAAUACUUACUGGAGGUCCGAACCCACGCACGUUGAAAAGUGCGGGGAUGAGGUGUGGGUAGCGGAGAAAUUCCAAUCGAACUUGGAGAUAGCUGGUUCUCUCCGAAAUAGCUUUAGGGCUAGCCUCGAGGUAAAGAGUCAUGGAGGUAGAGCACUGUUUGGACUAGGGGCCCUUCUCGGGUUACCGAAUUCAGAUAAACUCCGAAUGCCAUGUACUUAUACUCGGGAGUCAGACUGCGAGUGAUAAGAUCCGUAGUCGAAAGGGAAACAGCCCAGACCACCAGUUAAGGUCCCCAAAUAUAUGUUAAGUGGAAAAGGAUGUGGGGUUGCUUAGACAACCAGGAUGUUGGCUUAGAAGCAGCCACCAUUGAAAGAGUGCGUAAUAGCUCACUGGUCGAGUGACCCCGCGCCGAAAAUGUACCGGGGCUAAACAUAUUACCGAAACUGUGGAUGAACCUCUUUAGAGGUUCGUGGUAGGAGAGCGUUCUAAGGGCGGUGAAGUCAGACCGGAAGGACUGGUGGAGCGCUUAGAAGUGAGAAUGCCGGUAUGAGUAGCGAAAGAAGGGUGAGAAUCCCUUCCACCGAAUAUCUAAGGUUUCCUGAGGAAGGCUCGUCCGCUCAGGGUUAGUCGGGACCUAAGCCGAGGCCGAUAGGCGUAGGCGAUGGACAACAGGUAGAGAUUCCUGUACCAGUGCUAAUUGUUUAACCGAUGGGGUGACACAGAAGGAUAGGGAAUCGCACGAAUGGAAAUGUGCGUCCAAGCAGUGAGUGUGAGAAGUAGGCAAAUCCGCUUCUCGCGAAGCAUGAGCUGUGAUGGGGAAGGAAAUUAAGUACGGAAGUUCCUGAUUUCACGCUGUCAAGAAAAGCCUCUAGGAAGAGUAGUACUGCCCGUACCGCAAACCGACACAGGUAGAUGAGGAGAGAAUCCUAAGGUGAGCGAGAGAACUCUCGUUAAGGAACUCGGCAAAAUGACCCCGUAACUUCGGGAGAAGGGGUGCUCUAUUAGGGUGCAAGCCCGAGAGAGCCGCAGUGAAUAGGCCCAGGCGACUGUUUAGCAAAAACACAGGUCUCUGCAAAACCGUAAGGUGACGUAUAGGGGCUGACGCCUGCCCGGUGCUGGAAGGUUAAGAGGAGUGCUUAGCUUCGGCGAAGGUACGAAUUGAAGCCCCAGUAAACGGCGGCCGUAACUAUAACGGUCCUAAGGUAGCGAAAUUCCUUGUCGGGUAAGUUCCGACCCGCACGAAAGGCGCAACGAUCUGGGCACUGUCUCAACGAGAGACUCGGUGAAAUUAUAGUACCUGUGAAGAUGCAGGUUACCCGCGACAGGACGGAAAGACCCCGUGGAGCUUUACUGCAACCUGAUAUGGAAUGUUUGUACCGCUUGUACAGGAUAGGUAGGAGCCGAAGAGACGUGUGCGCUAGCAUACGAGGAGGCAAUGGUGGGAUACUACCCUGGCUGUAUGACCAUUCUAACCCGCCACGCUUAGCGCGUGGGGAGACAGUGUCAGGUGGGCAGUUUGACUGGGGCGGUCGCCUCCUAAAGAGUAACGGAGGCGCCCAAAGGUUCCCUC
rnacentral:rRNA from 2 species